rnacentral:rRNA from 1 species
UACGUAGGGGCGAGCGUUGUCCGGAAUGAUUGGGCGUAAAGGGCGCGUAGGCGGCUUAGCAAGUCUGGAGUGAAAGUCCUAUUUUCAAGGUAGGAAUUGCUUUGGAAACUGUUGAGCUUGAGUGCAGGAGAGGUUACCGGAAUUCCCGGUGUAGCGGUGGAAUGCGUAAAUAUCAGGAGGAACACCCGUGGCGAAAGCUGCUGCCUGGAACGAUACCGACGCUGAGGCGCGAAAGCUAGGGGAGCGAACGGGAUUAGAUACCCUGGUAGUCCCUGAG